rnacentral:tRNA from 1 species
AGGAUAGUAGUUAAAUAUAACAUUUGAUUUGCAUUCAAAAGGUGUUGAAUUUUUAAUCAACCUAUCUU